AGCAGCCGCGGUAAUUCCAGCUCCAAUAGCGUAUAUUAAAGUUGUUGCAGUUAAAAAGCUCGUAGUUGAAUUUCGGGAUUGACGUGAUGGUCAUGCCUUAAGGGGUAUGAACUGUCGCUGUUGAUUUCUCACCUUCUGGAGAAACUUGAUGUCCUUAAUUGGGUGUCUUGCGGAUCCAGGACCUUUACCUUGAAAAAAUUAGAGUGUUUAAAGCAGGCAUUUUUGCUCGAAUACAUUAGCAUGGAAUAAUAGAAUAGGACGGCAUGGUUCUAUUUUGUUGGUUUCUAGGACCACCGUAAUGAUUAAUAGGGAUAGUUGGGGGCAUUAGUAUUCAAUUGUCAGAGGUGAAAUUCUUGGAUUUAUUGAAGACUAACUACUGCGAAAGCAUUUGCCAAGGAUGUUUUCAUUAAUCAAGAACGAAAGUUAGGGGAUCGAAGACGAUCAGAUACCGUCGUAGUCUUAACCAUAAACUAUGCCGACUAGGAAUCAGACGAUGUUAAUUUUUUAAUGACUCGUUUGGCACCUUACG
rnacentral:rRNA from 1 species